AGUGAACGCUGGCGGUAGGCCUAACACAUGCAAGUCGAACGGCAGCACAGUAAGAGCUUGCUCUUACGGGUGGCGAGUGGCGGACGGGUGAGGAAUACAUCGGAAUCUACUUUUUCGUGGGGGAGAACGUAGGGGAACUUACGCUAAUACCGCAUACGACCUACGGGUGAAAGCAGGGGAUCUUCGGACCUUGCGCGAUUGAAUGAGCCGAUGUCGGAUUAGCUAGUUGGCGGGGUAAAGGCCCACCAAGGCGACGAUCCGUAGCUGGUCUGAGAGGAUGAUCAGCCACACUGGAACUGAGACACGGUCCAGACUCCUACGGGAGGCAGCAGUGGGGAAUAUUGGACAAUGGGCGCAAGCCUGAUCCAGCCAUACCGCGUGGGUGAAGAAGGCCUUCGGGUUGUAAAGCCCUUUUGUUGGGAAAGAAAAGCAGCAGGUUAAUACCCCGCUGUUCUGACGGUACCCAAAGAAUAAGCACCGGCUAACUUCGUG
rnacentral:rRNA from 1 species